rnacentral:misc_RNA from 1 species
GCGGAGGAAAAGAAACCAACAGGGAUUGCCCCAGUAACGGCGAGUGAAGCGGCAACAGCUCAAAUUUGAAAUCUGGUCCCCCCCGCGGGGGCCCGAGUUGUAAUUUGAAGAGGAUGCUUCUGGCGAGGCGCCGUCCGAGUUCCCUGGAACGGGACGCCGCAGAGGGUGAGAGCCCCGUACGGUCGGACGCCGAGCCUCUGUGAAGCUCCUUCGACGAGUCGAGUAGUUUGGGAAUGCUGCUCAAAAUGGGAGGUAAACCCCUUCUAAAGCUAAAUACCGGCCAGAGACCGAUAGCGCACAAGUAGAGUGAUCGAAAGAUGAAAAGCACUUUGAAAAGAGAGUUAAAAAGCACGUGAAAUUGUUGAAAGGGAAGCGCUUGCGACCAGACUCGCGCCCGUCGGAUCAGCCGUCGCUCGUCGG